UACGUAGGGUGCAAGCGUUGUCCGGAAUUAUUGGGCGUAAAGAGCUCGUAGGCGGUUUGUCGCGUCGAAUGUGAAAACCCGGGGCUCAACCCCGGGCCUGCAUUCGAUACGGGCAGACUAGAGUUCGGUAGGGGAGUCUGGAAUUCCUGGUGUAGCGGUGAAAUGCGCAGAUAUCAGGAGGAACACCGGUGGCGAAGGCGGACGACUGUCGGCGAUACUGACGCUGAGGAGCGAAAGCGUGGGGAGCGAACAGG
rnacentral:rRNA from 1 species